rnacentral:rRNA from 1 species
GACGAACGCUGGCGGCGUGCUUAACACAUGCAAGUCGAACGAGGUCCACCGCGUAGCAAUACAAGGGAAGACCUAGUGGCGAACGGGUGCGUAACACGUGAGGAACUUGUCCCGGUCUCUGGGAUAACAGUUGGAAACGACUGCUAAUACCGGAUGACGUCGGAAUCUCGCAUGGGAUACUGACGAAAGGGUUACUGGAUCGGGAGAGCCUCGCGGCCUAUCAGCUUGUUGGUGAGGUAACGGCUCACCAAGGCAUCGACGGGUAGCUGGUCUGAGAGGAUGAUCAGCCACACUGGGACUGAGACACGGCCCAGACUCCUACGGGAGGCAGCAGUGGGGAAUCUUGCGCAAUGGGCGAAAGCCUGACGCAGCAACGCCGCGUGCGGGAAGAAGGCCCUCGGGUUGUAAACCGCUUUCAGAAGGAACGAAAAUGACGGUACUUUCAGAAGAAGGUGCGGCCAACUACGUG